CUUGAGCCAGCUAGGGGCUACCCGGAACAAAAUGGUGGAGCCGGUGAAAUGCGUAGAUAUCAUUUUGGGAACGCCCACAUGGUGGAAAACCACGUUAGCUGGGGGCUGUUGCUGGACGGCUGAAAACACGGAAAGGCCAGGGGGAGCGCGAACGGGGAUUUAAGAUAACCCCCGGUAGAUUCCCGGGCGCGGUAAACGAAUGUCCACUAUAGAAUUCGUGUGUUCCCUUCUGAGAGGGUUUCACCGGUCGGAAACACAAAAGUGUGCCUAAGUGGACCGCCUGGGAGGUACCGGUGCGCAAGGCUAAAACUCAAGAGAAAUUGACGGGGGCUCACACAAGCGGUGGAGCAUGUGGUUCAAUUCGAAGCAACGCGCAGAACCUUACCUGGGCUUGACAUGCCAGGAUUAUCCCUGUGAAAGCAGGGUAGGCCCUUCGGGGUACAACUGGUACAGGUGCUGCAUGGCUGUCGUCAGCUCGUGUCGUGAGAUGUCGGGUUAAGUCCCUUAACGAGCGAAACCUUUGCCCUUAGUUACCAGCGGGUUAUGCCGGGGACUCUAAGGGGACUGCCGGUGUCAAACCGGAGGAAGGUGGAGAUGACGUCAAGUCCUCAUGGCCUUUAUGCCCAGGGCCACACACGUGCUACAAUGGCGUCCACAAAGCGAACCAAGAGCGCAAGCUGGUGGAAAUCGCAGAAAUGACGCCCCAGUUCAGAUUGGAGGCUGCAACUCGCCUCCAUGAAGUUGGAAUCGCUAGUAAUCGCGGAUCAGCUACGCCGCGGUGAAUGUGUUCCUGAGCCUUGUACACACCGCCCGUCAAGUCAUGGGAGCCGGAAAUAGCCGAAGCCGCCGCGAUACAGCGGUGUCUACGCUAGGUUCGGUGACUGGGACUAAGUCGUAACAAGGUAGCCGUA
rnacentral:rRNA from 1 species